GUUGAAACAUUGGUUCCUGUAUGAUCACUGAAGUUAAGCAAUAUCGAGCCUGGUUACCUAGAUGGGUAACUGCUUGGGAAUACCAGGUGCUGUAAG